GCAAAUGGCUGGGUGGAGUAGGUAAAAUUGCAGCUUAUCAAACAGAGCACAGCAGACACAGCUAUCAACUGAAGUGCUUUGCAGGAAAAAAGGAAAAUGAGUAUCUGUGACCGGCUGUGAGAGGAUGGCUCAACCAACUGAUAUUCCUGGCAGUCUCUGUGUCCCAGAAGUAGGACUCUUAGCUGCUUUAAAAUGGAGCAGAAAUUCAAAAGGACAAGGACAAAUAAAACAGAAGAUAAAAGACCUGCCUGCACUAUUCAAAAAUGGAUUGAAUCUCAAGAAGAAGCAUGCUGAUGUGAUGGCAAACUUGGAAAAGAAUACUGAUUCCCAUCUAUCAAAUUCCACAAGAAAGAUAUAUUCAGAGACCAUUUGCUGUGCAGGGCGAGCACUGAGGGAUAACUUUGUAUCACUGGCACCUCACUUAUUGAAAGAUCGUAUAACUGAUACAGGGAAAUGCAAGGGAAGAUGCGUGGGUUUUGAAAUGGUGGACUGGUUACUUCAUCAAUGUUCAUUCAUCGACACUCGGACCAAGGCAGAGGGAAUCUGGCAGAUUUUGUUAGAACUGGGAAUUAUAUCUUCAGGUGAUUAAGCAUGUUUACUAAAAGAAAUGCUUUUGGA